GAAUGGGUAGGAAAAAAUGUGGCAUAUACAUGCGUCUCGCUGUGGCUGUACCCUGCUCCUUCGAUCCUGCAGACCAGGCCUGGCACUUUCUUGCACCCUGGGCCCAGGGCGGCUUGCAGGAAGCAAAGUGGUUUCCGUCUUCUGGACCAGAUUGGCUGUUCUUGCAGAGAAGGUCCAGGCCCAUCUGGAUCACAGAGCAGCACUAGAGUCUGGCACGUGCGUGCUGUUGAUGCUCAGGCCUUCACCCCUGCAGGUCAGUGCGUGGCUGCCAUGGCUCCGAUUCCUGUCCUGUGCCCGCCACCUUCCAAGGCUGUGCUUCAAGGCAAGGGCCGUUUCCUACUCGUUCUUUUUAUUCUAGAAGAUUAGUCUUUAAGCAGAGUUCCACAGGUAUAUAAAUAUAUACUUAUGCAUAUAUGGGUAAGUCUUUUCCCUCGAGGCCCGUCCAUGCGCUUGGCUCCAGUGAGUCUUCAGGCAGAUUUGGAGUCAGCAAACUGCAGGUCAGCUCCUGGCCACGUUGGGCUGUCUUGCUUGCAGCUUCUCUGGAGUGGUAUGGAAAGGCCAGAGAGUUUUCCCGAGCUGAUGAAAGCGGCCUUGCCUACUUUGAAUUUUCUCUCUCUCUCUCUCUCCUUCCUUGCAAUGCUGAGGAUCCAACCCAAAGCCUGAUGCAGGCUAGGCAAACGCCCUGCGCUGAUUGCCCACGUUGAAACAGAAGCGCAGAGGAUCGGUGCACCCCAGUGUGUUUAUCCUGUCAGGCUUUUACCUGCGACACUAACCUAGCAACGAUUAUGCUGCAGCGACUACAGAAACAGCAUGUUCACAUAAAUCAAUAAACUGAAAUCAAGUGCUACCACCUUUAAAGCACAUCUUUGAUUAAUAUUUGUGUAUUGAAUACUGAUCUUAAUCAGGAUGCUUCACCCCCUCUCCCCCCAGCCCAGCAGAGGAGCUGGGAGGACUGGAGGGACCCUGGGGAUGUGACCUGUCAGGGCAGGCUGUGCACCACCCCCAGUGUCUGAC
rnacentral:lncRNA from 1 species